AUACGUAGGGGACAAGCGUUGUCCGGAAUCACUGGGCGUAAAGGGCGCGUAGGCGGUUUUAUAAGUCAGAUGUGAAAGGUAACGGCUCAACCGGUGACGUGCAUUUGAAACUGUAAGACUUGAGUACUGGAGAGGCAAGUGGAAUUCCUAGUGUAGCGGUGAAAUGCGUAGAUAUUAGGAGGAACACCGGAGGCGAAGGCGGCUCGCUGGACAGAUACAGACGCUGCGGUGGCAACGCGUGGGGAGCGAGCAGGAUUAAAUCCCCUGGUAGACCCCGCCGUAAACGAUGAUGACUAGGUGUUGGGGAAACUCAGUGCCGCAGUUAACACAUUAAGUCAUCCGCCUGGGGAGUACGAUCGCAAGGUUGAAACUCAAAGGAAUUGACGGGG
rnacentral:rRNA from 1 species